rnacentral:rRNA from 1 species
GGUGCUACCGUUGGUCGGGCAAUAGUCUGUACUGGCGUGUGGAAUUUCUACCUUCUGGGAACCAUCAUGUUAUUAAUUUAGCGUGGUGGGAAACCAGGACCUUUACCUUGAAAAAUUAGAGUGUUCAAAGCAGGCUUACGUCUGAAUACAUUAGCAUGGAAUAAUAAAAUAGGACGGUGGUCCUGUUUUGUUGGUUUCUGAAUCACCGUAAUGAUUAAUAGGGAUAGUUGGGC